CCGGAAUCGGCGCAGCCAGAGUCGCCCUACAGUCCGGAAUCGGCGCAGCCAGAGUCGCCCUACAGUCCGGAAUCGGCGCAGCCAGAGUCGCCCUACAGUCCGGAAUCGGCGCAGCCAGAGUCGCCCUAGAUCAAGCGACAGUAGGAUAGAGACAGACAGAUAGAACUUGCUACAUUGUGAUAGAGACAGACAGAUAGAACCAGCAACAGUGGGAUUGAGACAGACAGAUAGAUCAAGCGACACUAGAAUAGAGACAGACAGACAGACAGAACAAGCUAAAGUGGGAUAGAGACAGACAGAUAGAAGGAGCUACAGUGGGAUAGAGACAGACAGAAAUAACCAGCGACAGUGGGAUUGAGACAGACAGAUAGAUCAAGCGACAGUAGAAUAGAGACAGACAGACAGACAGAACGAGCUAAAGUGGGAUAGAGACAGACAGAUAGAACCAGCGACUGUGGGAUAGAUACGGACACCCAGAACCAGCGACAGUGGGAUAGAGACAGACAGAAAUAACCAGUAACAGAUGGAUAGAACCAGCUAAAGUGGGAUAGAGACGGACAGACAGAACAAGUGACAGUGGGAUAGAGACAGACAGAUAGGACCAGGGACAACAGAUAGAACCAGUGACAGUAGGAUAGAGACAGAUAGAACCUGCGACAGUGGGUUAGAGACAGACAGAUAGAACCGGUGACAGUAGGAUAGAGACAGAAAUAUUGAAGGAGCGACAGUGGGAUAGAGACAGACAGAUAGUACCAGCGACAGUGGGAUAGAGACAGACAGAGAUGUUACGAACCGGCUCAGAGUUCGCAACAAAAGGGAGACAACGUGGAGACAAGGAGUAUCAAAAUAUAUAUUUAUUAAAUAGAGUAAACUAAGUAAUUAACAAUGGUGUGUGUAAUCAGUAGUGGAAGUGAGUGUUUGCAUGCAAAAAUGUAUUAAUGCAGGGUGUUGAAGGGUGCCAAAGCAAACAACCAAAUAGCCACAACUAUCACAACAGAAAUCAACCUUGGUGUCUGCAUGGAGAGAGUCUCCCUGUUGACUGUGGAAGAGGUCUAUUUACCCGGGCCCAGGUGUUUCCCAAGUAGCUGACGACCCUCCCAACUCCGCCCACCGGCAUCCUAAUAAGGAAACAAGAACAAAGAGAGAAUAUGGCAGACAGAGUGGGAGGCUCGUCACAGAGAGAACGAGCUAAAGUGGGAUAGAAACAGAUACAGAACCAGCGACAGUUGGAAAUAGACGGACAGAUAGAACCAGUGGCAGUAGGAUAGAGACGGACAGACAGAACCAGGGACAGUGGGAAAUAAACAGACAGAUAGAACCUGCGACAGUGGGAUAGAGACAGACAGAUAGAACCAGCGACAGUGGGAUAGAAACAGACAGGUAGAACCAGCGACUGUGGGGUAGAGACAGACAGAUAGAUCUAGCGACAGUGGUAUAGAGACAGACGGAUAGAACCAGUGACAGUCGGAUAGAGACAGACAGAUAGAACCAGCGACAGUGGGAUAGAGACAGACGGAUAGAACCAGCGACAGUGGGAUAGGGACAGACAGGUAAUACCAGCGACAGUGGGAUAGAGACAGACAGACAUAUAGAACCAGCGACAGUGGGAUAGAGACAGACAGAAAGAGUGAGAGAAGGAUAGAGAAAGAGCUAUAGAAAACGAGGGAUAGCAAGUGUGAGAUAUAGAGAGAGGGAUAGUGAGUAACAGAGAGAAAAGAGAGGAAAAUCAAUGUUCUAACAUAAAUGAAUGAAAUCCAAAUGGAUGUGUCAUGGUAGCACAUUAUUUGCCACUGCAGCCCAGCAGAGAGUAGAGACAAACAAUAGGUCACACUGCACAACCAUCUUUACAUUUGUCUAAUACUGUCAUGCAUCACCCCCUCCUGCAACAAGACUACGCAGGCUUCACACACAGCUUGUGUGAGAGAGUCGGCAAUAGACACGCCAUUUGACAAUGCAUCGCACGCCUCUGCUGACGUUGCACCAGAGGGUUUUUUUCUGCUACCACGCUCUCCGUACCUCAUCCCUCAGCGAGCCACCCUGGAAAGAACACUCCACGGGUGUGAGCGGUGUGAGCGAGAGGCAGGGGGAGGCUAAUCUGUUCCUUUCCCUUCUGAGUCUUGGCUUUGUGUUCAGGGAAAAGAGGAGGGAGCGAGGGAUUGGAGGGAGAGGGGGUGUGGGGAAUCUGAAGAGGGCUACAGUAGUACAUGAAUGCUGCACAACAGAUGAAAUGGAUUGCUAGAGCUUUGGACAUGGUUGUGGUUUCCGCUAUCUUGUUUUGUUUUUUUUGCAUUAUGUCAACAUGGUGGAGAUAUGCGUUUGCUGUUAUACUGUGGUCAAUGUCAAUCACAGUCUGUAUGAAAAAUAUUAGAUGUUUACAUUUUAAUUACACACUUCAGAAACCUUUUGUCUACUAUUGUUCUG
rnacentral:lncRNA from 1 species